GUCUUUUUGAUAUUAAUUUAAAGUCUGGCCUGCCCAGUGAAUUUUUAACGGCCGCGGUAUUUUGACCGUGCUAAGGUAGCAUAAUCAUUAGUUUCUUAAUUGGGAGCUGGAAUGAAGGGUUUGAUGAAAAAGUGACUGUCUCUAUUUAAUUUUUAAAGAAUUUUAUUUUUAAGUAAAAAAGCUUAGAUAUUCUUAAAAGACGAGAAGACCCUAUAGAGUUUUAUGAAAUGAAUAAUUUUUAGGUUGGAAAUUUAUAUUUGGGUUAGGGAAUUUUAUUUGAUUGGGGUGAUUGGAAAAUUUAAGGAACUUUUUUAUUUGAGAUACAUAAAUUAAUGAGUAUUUGAUCCAUUUUUAGUGAUUAAUAGAUUAAAUUACCUUAGGGAUAACAGCGUAAUUUUACUUGAAAGUUCACAUUAAAAGUAAAGCUUGCGACCUCGAUGUUGGAUUAAAAUUAAUGUUGGUGUAGGAGCUAAUAGAUUUUGGUCUGUUCGACCAUUAAAAUUUUACAUGA
rnacentral:rRNA from 1 species